CCCUUAGAUGUUCUGGGCCGCACGCGUGCUACACUGAGUAAAUCAAUGGGUAAGGGAACACGAAAGUGCAACCUAAUCUUGAAAUUUGCUCGUGAUGGGGAUCGACGGUUGCAAUUUUCCGUCAUGAACGAGGAAUACCUUGUAAGCGCGGGUCAUCAUCCCGCGCUGAAUACGUCCCUGCCCUUUGUACACACCGCCCGUCGCUCCUACCGAUUGAGUGGUCCGGUGAGGCUUUGGGAUCUGAGCGGAAAGAGCGUUUCGCUGUUUCUGCUCGGAAAACUCAGUCGAACCUUAUCAUUUAGAGGAAGGAGAAGUCGUAACA
rnacentral:rRNA from 1 species